GAAUAAAUACGGGGGAGCUUGUUCAUGCAGGCUGAGAGGAAGUAAUCGAACUUCGACCCUUACACCUGAUAUGGAUAAUGCCAUCGUAGGAAGUAAGAAGAGAAUGCUU
rnacentral:ncRNA from 2 species